AUGCAAGUCGAACGGUAACAGGAAGCAGCUUGCUGCUUCGCUGACGAGUGGCGGACGGGUGAGUAAUGUCUGGGAAACUGCCUGAUGGAGGGGGAUAACUACUGGAAACGGUAGCUAAUACCGCAUAACGUCGCAAGACCAAAGUGGGGGACCUUCGGGCCUCAUGCCAUCAGAUGUGCCCAGAUGGGAUUAGCUAGUUGGUGGGGUAACGGCUCACCAAGGCGACGAUCCCUAGCUGGUCUGAGAGGAUGACCAGCCACACUGGAACUGAGACACGGUCCAGACUCCUACGGGAGGCAGCAGUGGGGAAUAUUGCACAAUGGGCGCAAGCCUGAUGCAGCCAUGCCGCGUGUAUGAAGAAGGCCUUCGGGUUGUAAAGUACUUUCAGUGAGGAGGAAGGCAUGAUGCUUAAUACGCAUCGUGAUUGACGUUACUCACAGAAGAAGCACCGGCUAACUCCGUGCCAGCAGCCGCGGUAAUACGGAGGGUGCAAGCGUUAAUCGGAAUUACUGGGCGUAAAGCGCACGCAGGCGGUCUGUUAAGUCAAAUGUGAAAUCCCCGGGCUCAACCCGGGAACUGCAUUUGAAACUGGCAGGCUUGAGUCUCGUAGAGGGGGGUAGAAUUCCAGGUGUACCGGUGAAAUGCGUAGAGAUCUGGAGGAAUACCGGUGGCGAAGGCAGCCCCCUGGACAAAAACUGAC
rnacentral:rRNA from 1 species